GGGUGGGGGAGGGUUGAGAGGGUGGAGUGGGAGAUUUGGGAGAAUAUGAAUUAGGGCUUGGAGCUGAUAAAAAGNNAUUCCUGACUAUCCUCCUUCUUAACCAAGUGACUGGUGUGGGGUGGUUAGGAGGGGGAGGAAGUGAAAUGGACGAAAGAUGGGUUCUGGUUCAGCUCUGUGGAAGAAUGCCUUGUUUGCUUAGAUGUAGCUGGGGACCUGGUGUCAGAAAAAAGAAACUGUCCAUCUAAAUUUGAAAGAUGCAAACAGCUUCUCUGGUACUGCAGAGCAAGAUGAACACUUGAUGUUAAAUGUUCUUAAAAAAAGAAAAAGUUCUGUCCUUGAAAUAGAUUGGCUGUGGGAAGAAGGGCAGUGAGGGUCGGGGAAGGGGGCCAUGAGCGUGGGGAGCCCCACAGAGCCCAGGGGACUUUUUCAGUAUGUGAAAUAAAAAACAAACAAACAAAAAGAAGACCCACGAAAAAACCCAACCCAGAAAUACUCUGAAGCAGUUGGUGUGUUUUAUUGGGGUUUGGGAAAAGGGAAGAAAAUAAAUAAGACUGAAGACACCUUUCGGGGGAGAAGCUGGUGUGGGUCUCUGAGUUUCUAAGGGACAGGGGCCCUUCAUGUGGGAUGUCUGGGUUGCCCAUUUCCAUCAUUUAGGGGAAAGGGAGCAGGGGUGUUGGCAUAUAGACCAGGACUUUCUCUGACUUUCAUCCAUGCUGUUGUUUCUAAAGCUAAUGCAGAAGAUGGAGCGAUCUCAGGUUUUGACUCACAAAAUGAGAUAUUUGAGGUAUUUGAUCUAAAUGGUUUAUUGACACCUAAAGCUUAGUUGAGGCUAAACAAAAAAGGAAGCCCACUCUUUUCCCAUUCAGUUUUCCAUCACUUCACAAGAUCCCAAGUCUGUGAAGGACAGAUGGGAGUUCUAGUAAUAAACCAAAAGGAACUCACCCCUUUCUGCUUGUGGCCAGCAGGAGGCAGAGUCACUUCUUUCUUCAUGAUGUCCUAACCAUUGCUGAAAUCCUGCUACUGAAAGAAGUUUAAAACUACUUAUGAACAUAAUAUACAAAAGAAACAUUACCAAGGAGAAAUAAACUCACAAUUGUCUCCUCUCACAUUCAGACCAAACCUACCACGUGUAAAGAUUGAAAUUUGCCCAGGUUUGAUUAGGAGAAUUUAUCAUGGUAUUUUCCCAAAUGUGAGAGUAUGCAUCAAGAAAGAGAAACAAGGUCCAGAGAAAUAGACAUGCAAGAGAAAUUUCCAUCGCCUAAAGAGGGGGGAGUACUUCUAAACUAGAGAAGGAAUGCUGUG
rnacentral:lncRNA from 1 species